AGUUUAACUCUGUGAGAUGAACGCACACAUCACAAAAUAGUUUCUCAGAAUUCUUUUGUCUAGUUUUUUGCGAAGGUAUUUCCUUUUCCACCAUAGGCCACAAAAUGCUCCAUAUGUCCCCUUGCAAAUUCCUCAAAAAGUGAGUUUCAAAACUGCUCAAUCAAAAGAAAGGUUUAACUCUGAGACGAAUGCACACUUCACAAAGAAGCUUCACAGAUUGCUUCUGUCUAUAUUUUAUGUGAAGAUAUUUCCUUUCCUACCAUAGGCCGCAAAGCACUCCAAAUGUCCACUUGCAGACCCUUCAAAAAGAGUGUUUCCAAACUGCUCAAAUAAAAGAAAGAUUCAACUCUGUGAGAAUAAAGCACAAAA
rnacentral:lncRNA from 10 species